rnacentral:rRNA from 1 species
AGCAGCCGCGGUAAUUCCAGCUCCAAUAGCGUAUAUUAAAGUUGCUGCAGUUAAAAAGCUCGUAGUUGAAUUUCGGGACCAUCAUGUCGGUCGUGCCUCGGUACGUACUGGCAUUGUUGGUUUCUCCCUUCUGACGAACCAUGAUGUCAUUUUAUUUGGUGUUAUGGGGAGUUAGGACUGUUACUUUGAAAAAAUUGAGUGUUUAAAGCAGGCAUUAGCUUGAAUACAUUAGCAUGGAAUAAUGAAAUAGGACGUUCGAUCCUAUUUUGUUGGUUUCUAGGAUCAACGUAAUGAUUAAUAGGGAUAGUUGGGGGCAUUAGUAUUCAAUUGUCAGAGGUGAAAUUCUUGGAUUUAUUGAAGACUAACUACUGCGAAAGCAUUUGCCAAGGAUGUUUUCAUUAAUCAAGAACGAAAGUUAGGGAUCGAAGACGAUCAGAUACCGUCGUAGUCUUAACCAUAAACUAUGCCGACUAGGGAUCGGAUGAUGUUAAUUUUUAUGUAC